AAGCAACUUUACAGAAGAUUUUGGCUUCAAGUUUCGGAGAAGGAUAAAGAAUCAGAGCAUCUCUUAAACUUGUAAUGGCGGUCUUCUGCUCGACCCUGGUUUCUGGGCUUUCCUUUAACAGUUUCCCGAACUUCGCAGAAGAUGGCGACGCACAAAAUGCCCGAGAGCAUUUAAUCCUUACUUCGUCAUUCUCAAUUCAAAUUCGGAAGCCCCUUUUGUUUAUCAAGAAUGGCUGUUCCGGGGGUUGACAAGAAACUGCUUUGCGAACUCGAGGAAAUGGGAUUCCCCGAGGCUCGGGCCACUAGGGCUCUUCAUUAUUCAGGUAAUUCAAGUGUCGAGGCUGCAAUAAGUUGGAUAAUCGAUCAUGAGAAUGAUGCUGACAUUGACGAGAUGCCCUUGUCUGCUCAGGUUCCUGUCGAUAUCCCUAUUGAAGCUUCUGAUCCAUUUUUCAUCUCCGAAGAAAUGAAGCUGAAAGCACCGGAAUUAAGCGAUCAGGUGCGUAAAAAUAGAGAAGUGGAAGAGAAGAAACUGGAAAGAAGCAGGGAGAAGGAAAGGAUUAGAGCAGGUAAAGAGCUGCAAGUGGCAAAGCGAAUGGCAGAAGAAAAUGAAAGAAAGCGUAAUGUAGCUCAGAGGAAAGCAGACGUGGAAGAAAAGAGAAGGGCAAGGGAAAGAGUCCAUCAGAAGCUGCAACAGGAUAAGGCAGAAAGAAGGGGGUGGCUUGGAUUGCCUGUGGAAGGCCCUUUAUCUGUAAACCCUGCCAUAUCCUUUUCACAUGAAAGCAAGAACUUAGAGCAGGUUAAGCCUGCUUUGUUGACUGUUUCUGCUAGGAAGGAGGAUCUGAUGAGGGAAUGUCUGAGAUCUCUCAAGCGUCAAGUCAUGGGGGAUGAUUCUCAAGUGAAAAAGGCCGUCCAAACUCUAUUAAUUUAUUUGAGAAAUGUUGCUAAUAAUCCUGAUGACGAAAAGUUUAGGAAGAUUCGACUCGGUAAUCCAGCUUUCCAGAGCAGGGUAGGAAAAUUUAAACAAGGUGUCAAGUUUCUCGAACUCUGUGGGUUUGAGAUAAUUGGAGGAGAAUUUUUGUACCUACCCAAAGACAAAGUUGACAUGGCCACACUUGCAGAAGCUUGGGCAGUUCUGAACUCUGCUAUUACCAAUCCUUACUUUGGACUGUUUUCAAGGAGUGUUGAUGCUGGUGAUUAAGCCUCUUCCAAGUUUGCAUGGGAAGUGAGGGAUCAUAUUGUUUCGUUUCACUCCACGAUGAAGGCCAUGGACUCAUGGUUAGAUUAAUUCAGCAUUUGCAGCCAUAAGCAUCACAUAGGAAUGGAAUGCAGGGGAAAGGUGCAACUACAUUUCGUCAAGUUAAUAUUUCUGUUGCAGUUGAGAAUACAAGUAGUAUUCUUUUCAUGCAAUUAUGCAAGUAACAGGACGUCAAGCCUCUGCUGGUAUCUCCAUCUUUCAUGCUACAAUCUUCGUUUAAAGCUUUUACCCAUUCUCCCUGCAGGGGGAAUAAGCAAAUCCUGGUUCUAACCUUGGAAGAGAUUUGUUUCGUCUGAUAGCUCUCGACCCAAACCAAGAUGUGGCUUUAGCCUGAUUUCCCUGGUUCCCCUUUGU